rnacentral:rRNA from 1 species
GUGUCAGCAGCCGCGGUAAGACGUAGGAUGCAAGCGUUGUCCGGAUUUAUUGGGCGUAAAGAGUUCGUAGGCGGUUCGUUAAGUCUGAUGUUAAAGAUCGGGGCUCAACCUCGGGAGUGCAUUGGAUACUGGCGGACUGGAGUGCAGUAGAGGCGAGUGGAAUUCCCAGUGUAGCGGUGAAAUGCGUAGAUAUUGGGAAGAACACCGGUGGCGCAAGCGACUCGCUGGGCUGUUACUGACGCUGAGGAACGAAAGCUAGGGUAGCGAAUGGGAUUAGAUACCCCAGUAGUCC